ensembl:lncRNA
CAUGAAAGGAUGUGUACUCAAAGCCACAUCCCUCGAUGUCACAUUCUCCAUCCUCUCUCGACCCCUGGAAACUGCAUGACGGAACAGCUCCUUUGAAGUUAAUGCAGACUUUGACUGUUGCUGCAUCUCCUGAAGGUCAAAGCCAUCAGAAUCUCAGUGCUAUUAUCAGCGAGGGUUGCAAAGCCCAGCCCAGCUGUAGCUCCUCAUGUGAAGCACACUCUUGCAGGACUAAUGAAUGCUUCAGUUUCAUCAGAAACUCUACAAGCAGGGGCUUCUGGUGGCUGCGUCUGAGGAGGUGGCCAAGGCUGAAAUAAGGAACCGCACCAACCCCUCUGUAGAAGAAGUCUGCAGGUUCCAAUCCUGACUCUGCCACUUACAAGCCGUGCAACUCUGGGCCUAGUACUUAG